CACGUAGGAGGCGAGCGUUGUCCGGAAUCAUUGGGCGUAAAGAGCGCGCAGGCGGCUUGGCAAGUCGGGUGUGAAAUCCCGGGGCUCAACCCCGGGACUGCAUUCGAUACUGUCGGGCUAGAGUCCGGAAGAGGCAAGUGGAAUUCCUGGUGUAGCGGUGGAAUGCGCAGAUAUCAGGAGGAACACCAAUAGCGAAGGCAGCUUGCUGGGACGGUACUGACGCUAAGGCGCGAAAGCGUGGGGAGCGAACAGG
rnacentral:rRNA from 1 species